AUUUCAGACCCUGUGGCAUCUGAUUAUUAUAUGAUUAUAUAGCUGUGCUCAUGUUUUAACUCAAAUGUUUUAGUUUGACCAUUAACAUUAUUACAAAACAUCAUGCUGGUUUUAGCAGAUGCUGGAUGGCUCUCUGGUGUUUAUCUCUUAGGAAGUUUUGGGAAACUCACACAUUUAAUUGGGGACUAAAGUUUCUGAGGUGUUGCACCCUGUUCUCUAAUUUUUAAUUUCACUUCCUACAGUCUGUUAAUUCUCAGCUUUAACGAGAGCUGAAAUAACCCUGAUGAGAUAAUUAAUGUGAGUAAUUAUGGCUCAUCAAAUAGUACUACUGUCAGAGUGUUAAUGAGAUGAGGAAAAACCGUUGUACAAACCUGCGGCACUGCGUCCAUACAUACACAAACAGCAUUCUCCACAUUCAUUAUUAUGAACUUCAGUUUUAAAAAGUCAGUGUAUCAACUGGGCAUGCACUAUUUUUUUAAAUAGAUACUUGUGAGAUCUGUGUGUUUGUUUUCCUCCCCAUGUGCUCUCAGUGACCCCGUCUCUCAUUGAUUGUGUGAUUUGCUUCAGGUGUGUCUUUGUAAUUACCCUCGUUACCCCAUGCAUUUAAGUCCCAGUCUGUGCUGUCUGUCUUUGUCGGGUCUUAAUGUUAUGUAUGUGUGGAUUACGUUAAAGGCUGUUACUUUGAUCCUCGGUGGUCCCGCCGACACAGUUGUGCCAAUAUACAGAGGAAGUCUGACGUGAUGAAGCGCGCUGAAGUUCACAGCAUAUGAGAGGCGCCCGAGGGCCCUGUCAGCCCUGCUUUGAUUUGGAUCCGGAUCCUGAUCUCAGGGCUGGAAAUAGAGAUUAACAGAUGGCAGUGUAUCAGGCUGAGCGGCUGGGCCGGGCCUCACCCACGCCAGACCCGCUGCACUGUGAAAACACUGGGGGUUUCGCACCGUGCCCACACGAGAGCUGCAGGAUUGAAGCAGAAACAUUCCUCAUGUCACGGAAGGAUUCCAGAACUCCACAGCAAAGUUAUUUAUGUAUGAGCCGGCGUGAAGUCUUGCAUUAGUUCUGGGUGAAUAAGGAAGCAGAAUUGAAUCAGGUUGAGUGGAGGAGUGAAUAUCUGUCUCAUCAUCUCUCACUCCACUGAGUCAGAAAGCGACACAACUCCACACAACUCUCAAACACAAACGGCCGACGAACAAAACCAACAGAUGCAAGUGUGGACGCAUGAACGGAGCUGAUCUCAAAGCGCACAGGUGGGCAUACCUGCGCAACACAAUUAGCACAUGCAGCUGGUCAAAAGCAAGAUCUGAGUCUUCAAACACACACACAAAUGUCUUCAAACUGUCUGUUGGGGAUACACUGUGUUUUUUGUCUAAACUGUCAGCCAUUAUGAAAUUUACCAUUGUUAUUAACUUACAAAAAUCACACAGUAAGAA